rnacentral:pre_miRNA from 7 species
CUGUGUGUGAUGGCUUGGCAGUGUAUUGUUAGCUGGUUGAGUAUGUGAGCGGCACCAGCUAACAUGCGACUGCUCUCCUAUUGCACACACA